AUGUUCUCGCGGCGACGACGAAGGACAGUGGGUGAGAGGAGGGAGGUGAUGCCGGCGAGUCUGCCGGCGGGGGCGGACGGCUGCACGGAGAUGGGCUCACUCGGGGGGCCAAUAAGUGCCCAGGGGUGGAGCGAAAUCAAGACCCAAUCGAGGCAGUUACUUCGGAAUUUCGCGAAUCAGAAGAAAAUCCGGGAGUGGAUGAAACGGCGCGAGGUGGAGCUGAUUAGCAGGAUUCCAGGUGAGAUCCUCUCGGAUCAGAAGGUAGAGGGGUCGGCUCGCAUCAAUUUAGGCAAGAAAACUGAGUUGGUGGCGGUUUCCAGUGAGGGUAAUAGGGGCGAAAUUUCUUCUGUUACAGGAAGAAAGGCGCUAUCUAUGGCAAAUUCCUCUGUUUUGGAAGUAAAUCAUCAUGAAUGGGAAAGGAGAGAUAACGAUCUUGUGAUUGUUGUUAGGAAUAGAGGAAUAAUUACCGUGAUUUUCCUUUGGAAACGGCCUUUUCAUGACCAUUUAGCAGGUUAUUAUGACAAUUGCUUCCCGUUUCUUAUUCUGGAGGGGAAUAGAGGGAUCUAUAUCAAGUUGGGGAGGUGGUGUUCCUGUUCGUCAGUUUUUUUGUAG
rnacentral:rRNA from 1 species